CAGCCCCCCAGUCACUCCUCCACCUGGUCCUCACUAGUAGUUCCCCUUAACACCAUAAGCCGCAGCUCCUGGGCCGGUAGCCUGCACCUGACCCCCCAAACUCCUUGGGGCUGAAUUGGGCUCUGGUACAGGGAAACUUUGCCUGCCUCCCAUGAGGUGGGCUGAGAGUCCUUCUUCCCACAGUGGGUGCGGUUGGAGGACCAACAUGGGCAGCCCUACUUCUACAACCCAGAAGACACCUCAGUUCAGUGGGAGCUGCCCCAGGUUCCUGUCCUUGCCCCUCGAAGCAUCUGCAAAUCCAACCAGGACAGUGAGACCCCAGCCCAGGCCUGCCCCCCUGAGGAGAAGAUCAAGACUCUGGACAAGGCCGGUGUGCUUCAUGGCACCAAGACAGUGGACAAGGGGAAGCGGCUCCGGAAGAAGCACUGGAGUGCCUCCUGGACGGUGCUGGAGGGUGGCGUCCUGACAUUCUUCAAGGACUCGAAGGCCUCAGCUGCAGGCGCCCUG